GAUGUGGUAGUUGCCAGCCGGACGUUGGCGGAGCAUGUUCGGGCCCUCGAUAGUCCGAAAGGGCGUGGGUUCGAAUCCCACUCUCGUCA
rnacentral:tRNA from 1 species